CGGAGGGUGAAAUUUUAGAAACAAAAAUUGUAGAGAGAGAGAGGGUGAAAUUUUAGAAACAAAAAUUGUAGAGAGAGAGAGAGAGAGAGAGAGAGAGAGAGAGGAGGCUAUCCUACACGCUCCCCCGCCCAAAUUCCAUGUCAACUUUGAACGUCACCAUGGGGGACGCGCCUGACGCCGGCAUGGGCGCUGUCCAGCGACGCCUCAUGUUUGAGGAUGAAACCACCUCCAGGCGUCUCACUUCUCUAGAGCAAAAAUCAGAGCUGUUGGUGGAGGUGAAAGAGGCAGAGGAACCGCCUUCCCUUGCUUUUGCUUUUGUUAGUUGGUUAUCAGGAUAGACCUCUGCUGAAUUGUGGGGGAGGUGGAACCUGUGGGACGUAUGGUGGAAGGUUUGACAAAAGUUUCCCAUGUACUUAGAGAAGGCAGAAAGUUUAUUGCAAAAACAUUUUGUGGGAAAGACACAAGUCCUCUUUACUGUCAGGUUUUGCAGUUGUGGCUUGAGAGGAAAAUCUUACCUGAAUAUGUUCUUCGGCCUUUCAUGGAUGACAUUGUAUAAAACCCAACACCAUUUUAUUUUUUAUUUUUAAAUUAGGUCAUUAGUGUCGACAGCUGAUAACAGCGUUGACUCCCAAAGUUGACGCUGCUAACACUUUUUUAAAUUUUUUUAGGCAUUCAUGUAGACUUCGGUUGACAUCAAUAGUCAAUUAUUAGCAUUGACGGUAAUAACAUUAUUCUU